rnacentral:rRNA from 1 species
ACGAACGCUGGCGGCGUGCUUAACACAUGCAAGUCGAACGGGCCUGUCUUCUUUUUUGGGGGUGGGUUGAGUGGCGAACGGGUGAGUAUCACGUGAGUAACCUGCCCUUCGGUCCUGGAUAACCGCUUGAAAGGGCGGCUAAUACGGGGUGGUCCGGUUGGUCCGCAUGGGCUGGUCGGGAUAGAUUCACUGUUUUUGGUGUUUCGGCGGGGGAUGGGCUCGCGGCCUAUCAGCUUGUUGGUGGGGUGAUGGCCUACCAAGGCGGUGACGGGUAGCCGGCCUGAGAGGGUGGGCGGCCACACUGGGACUGAGAUACGGCCCAGACUCCUGCGGGAGGCAGCAGUGGGGGGUAGUGCACAAUGGGCGGAAGCCUGAUGCGGCGACGUCGCGUGAGGGAUGGAGGCCUUCGGGUUGUGAACCUCUGUUUCCGGUGGUGAAGGCCCUGUCCGUGUGGUGGGGUUGACGGUAGCCGGGGAUGAAGCGCCGGCUAACUACGUG